UUAGAUUAGUUUUACCUGAUUUUAAAUCUAAGCACUGGUACGGAUGGUUCUAGGUUGUUAGGGUUGGUUCUAGGUUAUUAGGGUUGGUUCUAGGUUGUUAGGGUUGGUUCUAGGUUGUUAGGGUUGAUUCUAGGUUAUUAGGGAUGGUUCUAGGAUGUUAUGGUUGGUUCUAGGUCAUUAGGUUUGGUUCUAGGAUGUUGGGGUUGGUUCUAGGUUGUUAUGGUUGGUUCUAGGUUGUUAGGGUUGGUUCUAGGUUGUUAGGGUUGGUUCUAGGUUGUUAUGGUUGGUUCUAGGUUGUUAGGGUUGGUUCUAGGUUGUUAGGGUUGAUUUUAGGAUGUUAUGGUUGGUUCUAGGUUAUUAGGG
ensembl:lncRNA